UGCCGGGUCCCGCGCGCCAGGUUGGGGCCAGAGGACUCGGCUCUCGGGGCAGCACCGCUCCUCCUGCUGGGAACUGGUCCUGCGCAUGCAUCCCCUUUCGCCGGCCGCGCCCGCCGCGCCGCUCUGCCUUACAAAGGAGGACGAAUGAGGCGGGCGGCGGCGCCGUGCGGCCCCCCCCCCCCCGGGCGGCGGGGAUGGCGGCCGCCCCCGGCACCACCUAAGACGCCCCCGCGCGCCCAGCUUCGGCCCAGGCCCGAGCCCCGCAGGCGGCCGAGCGCUGCGUGUCGCCCGUGGCCCGCGAGGAGGCGGAGGAGCAGAGCGAGGCGCCGCCUUCCCCGCGCACUGCCGCGCGCCCUCGCGCCCUCGCCGUUGUCUGCGCUGCGCGCUGGACCAGUUUCGCGAAGUUGCCCGGGCCCCGCGCCGCCCAGAUGUGCGACCUCAUUGAGCCUCAGCCGAGCGAGAAGAUCGGCAGGAUGAAGAAGUUGAGGAGAACUUUGUCAGAGAGUUUCAGCCGCAUCGAUUUCAGCAGCUGACCUCCCAGGUCUGAUAGAAGGAGCACAUAUGAACAAAGGAAUGGGCCACAAGUUCCUCAAGCAUUUAGAGCGAACCAGACAACUGCUCUUUGUUGAGUUGGAGUCAUACAAAGAGGAACUGCAGACAAAACCUGCACUCUUGGCAGUUAAUAAGAUGGACUUGCCCGAUGCCCAGGUUAAGCUUGACGAACUGAUGAAGC